rnacentral:rRNA from 1 species
GGUUAAGCGACUAAGCGUACACGGUGGAUGCCCUGGCAGUCAGAGGCGAUGAAGGACGUGCUAAUCUGCGAUAAGCGUCGGUAAGGUGAUAUGAACCGUUAUAACCGGCGAUUUCCGAAUGGGGAAACCCAGUGUGAUUCGUCACACUAUCAUUAACUGAAUCCAUAGGUUAAUGAGGCGAACCGGGGGAACUGAAACAUCUAAGUACCCCGAGGAAAAGAAAUCAACCGAGAUUCCCCCAGUAGCGGCGAGCGAACGGGGAGCAGCCCAGAGCCUGAAUCAGUGUGUGUGUUAGUGGAAGCGUCUGGAAAGGCGCGCGAUACAGGGUGACAGCCCCGUACACAAAAAUGCACAUGCUGUGAGCUCGAUGAGUAGGGCGGGACACGUGGUAUCCUGUCUGAAUAUGGGGGGACCAUCCUCCAAGGCUAAAUACUCCUGACUGACCGAUAGUGAACCAGUACCGUGAGGGAAAGGCGAAAAGAACCCCGGCGAGGGGAGUGAAAAAGAACCUGAAACCGUGUACGUACAAGCAGUGGGAGCACGCUUAGGCGUGUGACUGCGUACCUUUUGUAUAAUGGGUCAGCGACUUAUAUUCUGUAGCAAGGUUAACCGAAUAGGGGAGCCGAAGGGAAACCGAGUCUUAACUGGGCGUUAAGUUGCAGGGUAUAGACCCGAAACCCGGUGAUCUAGCCAUGGGCAGGUUGAAGGUUGGGUAACACUAACUGGAGGACCGAACCGACUAAUGUUGAAAAAUUAGCGGAUGACUUGUGGCUGGGGGUGAAAGGCCAAUCAAACCGGGAGAUAGCUGGUUCUCCCCGAAAGCUAUUUAGGUAGCGCCUCGUGAAUUCAUCUCCGGGGGUAGAGCACUGUUUCGGCAAGGGGGUCAUCCCGACUUACCAACCCGAUGCAAACUGCGAAUACCGGAGAAUGUUAUCACGGGAGACACACGGCGGGUGCUAACGUCCGUCGUGAAGAGGGAAACAACCCAGACCGCCAGCUAAGGUCCCAAAGUCAUGGUUAAGUGGGAAACGAUGUGGGAAGGCCCAGACAGCCAGGAUGUUGGCUUAGAAGCAGCCAUCAUUUAAAGAAAGCGUAAUAGCUCACUGGUCGAGUCGGCCUGCGCGGAAGAUGUAACGGGGCUAAACCAUGCACCGAAGCUGCGGCAGCGACGCUGAUGCGUUGUUGGGUAGGGGAGCGUUCUGUAAGCCUGUGAAGGUGUGCUGUGAGGCAUGCUGGAGGUAUCAGAAGUGCGAAUGCUGACAUAAGUAACGAUAAAGCGGGUGAAAAGCCCGCUCGCCGGAAGACCAAGGGUUCCUGUCCAACGUUAAUCGGGGCAGGGUGAGUCGACCCCUAAGGCGAGGCCGAAAGGCGUAGUCGAUGGGAAACAGGUUAAUAUUCCUGUACUUGGUGUUACUGCGAAGGGGGGACGGAGAAGGCUAUGUUGGCCGGGCGACGGUUGUCCCGGUUUAAGCGUGUAGGCUGGUUUUCCAGGCAAAUCCGGAAAAUCAAGGCUGAGGCGUGAUGACGAGGCACUACGGUGCUGAAGCAACAAAUGCCCUGCUUCCAGGAAAAGCCUCUAAGCAUCAGGUAACAUCAAAUCGUACCCCAAACCGACACAGGUGGUCAGGUAGAGAAUACCAAGGCGCUUGAGAGAACUCGGGUGAAGGAACUAGGCAAAAUGGUGCCGUAACUUCGGGAGAAGG